rnacentral:rRNA from 1 species
CCUACGGGAGGCAGCAGUGAGGAAUAUUGGUCAAUGGGCUUACGCCUGAACCAGCCAAGUAGCGUGAGGGAAGACUGCCCUAUGGGUUGUAAACCUCUUUUGUCAGGGAGCAACGCCGGCUACGUGUAGCCGUACUGAGAGUACCUAAAGAUAAAGCAUCGGCUAACUCCGUGCCAGCAGCCGCGGUAAUACGGGGGAUGCGAGCGUUAUCCGUAUUUAUUGGGUUUAAAGGGUGCGUAGGCGGAAUGCCAAGUCAGCGGUAAAAUCGCGGGGCUCAACCUCGCUCCGCCGUUGAAACUGGCGUUCUUGAGUGGGCGAGAAGUAUGCGGAAUGCGUGGUGUAGCGGUGAAAUGCAUAGAUAUCACGCAGAACUCCGAUUGCGAAGGCAGCAUACCGGCGCCCAACUGACGCUGAAGCACGAAAGCGUGGGUAUCGAACAGGAUUAGAUACCCCUGUAGUC